UACGGAGGAUCCAAGCGUUAUCCGGAUUUAUUGGGUUUAAAGGGUGCGUAGGUGGGAUGAUAAGUCAGAGGUGAAAGCUAGCAGCUUAACUGUUAAAUUGCCUUUGAUACUGUUAUUCUUGAGUAUAGUUGGAGUUGGCGGAAUGUGACAUGUAGCGGUGAAAUGCGUAGAUAUGUCACAGAACACCGAUCGCGAAGGCAGCUAACUAAACUAUCACUGACACUGAUGCACGAAAGCGUGGGGAGCAAACAGGAUUAGAUACCCUGGUAGUCCACGCCGUAAACGAUGAUAACUCGACGUUGGCAAUAUACCGUUCAGCGUCCAAGCGAAAGCGUUAAGUUAUCCACCUGGGGAGUACGAUCGCAAGGUUGAA
rnacentral:rRNA from 1 species